rnacentral:rRNA from 1 species
AUUGAACGCUGGCGGCAUGCCUUACACAUGCAAGUCGAACGGUAACAGGUCUUCGGAUGCUGACGAGUGGCGAACGGGUGAGUAAUACAUCGGAACGUGCCUAGUAGUGGGGGAUAACUACUCGAAAGAGCGGCUAAUACCGCAUGAGAUCUACGGAUGAAAGCAGGGGAUCGAAAGACCUUGCGCUACUAGAGCGGCCGAUGGCAGAUUAGGUAGUUGGUGGGAUAAAAGCUUACCAAGCCGACGAUCUGUAGCUGGUCUGAGAGGACGAUCAGCCACACUGGGACUGAGACACGGCCCAGACUCCUACGGGAGGCAGCAGUGGGGAAUUUUGGACAAUGGGCGCAAGCCUGAUCCAGCAAUGCCGCGUGCAGGAUGAAGGCCUUCGGGUUGUAAACUGCUUUUGUACGGAACGAAAAGCCCUGGGUUAAUACCCUGGGGUCAUGACGGUACCGUAAGAAUAAGCACCGGCUAACUACGUGCCAGCCGCCGCGGUAAUAC